GAUGAACGCUGGCGGCGUGCCUAAUACAUGCAAGUCGAGCGAAACGGGGACGUGUGAGUAACACGUGGAUAACCUCCUAUAAGACUGCGAUAACUACGGGAAACCGGAGCUAAACCGGAUACUCACCGAUUGAUCCGCGCUUCAUUAGCUGGUUGGUAAGGUGACGGCGUACCAAGGCCACGAAGCAUAUCCGAACUGACCGGUUGAUAGGCCACACGGGAACGGGGACACGGUCCAGACUCCUACGGUAGGGAGCAGUAGGGAAUCUUCGGCAAUGGGCGAAAGCCUGACGGAACAACGCCGCGUGAGUGACGAAGGUCUUGGGAUCGUAAAACUCUGUUAUGAGGUAAGCGGUACCUGAUCAGAAAGCAACGGCUAACUACGUGCCAGCAGCCGCGGUAAUAC
rnacentral:rRNA from 1 species